GCCCCACUCAUAAAGUAAGCUUAUCCUCAUGGACAUCUAUCAGUGCCUUGCCAGUUGCAAGGAAUGGGUGCCCCAAUAUCAAAGGAACCUCUUUAUCUUCCUCCAUAUCCAAGACAAUGAAAUCCACUGGGAAGAUGAAUUUGUCCACCUUGACUAACACGUCAUUCACUAUGCCUCUAGGAUAUAUCAUCGAUCGAUCAGCUAGUUGUAAUGAAAUAC
rnacentral:lncRNA from 1 species